GAGGAGGCGCGUGAGGAGAGGUUAAAGUUGACGCUUCCGGCCGGUGUGUCUCUUCAGCUCUCCGCUCCCCGCAGACAGUCCUUCACUCCGCACAGACAUGUCCAACGUCUCCGAUACCAAACUAUACGACAUUCUCGGGGUCUCCCCCUCGGUCACCGAGAACGAGCUGAAAAAGGCUUAUCGGAAAUUAGCAAAGGAAUAUCACCCGGACAAAAACCCAAAUGCUGGAGACAAAUGCAAGGAGAU